GACGGAGGGGGCAAGCGUUGUCCGGAAUCACUGGGCGUAAAGAGCUCGUAGGUGGUUCGGUAAGUCGGAUGUGAAAUCUCCAGGCUCAACCUGGAGGGGUCAUUCGAUACUGCCGUGACUAGAGUUCGGUAGAGGAGUGUGGAAUUCCUGGUGGAGCGGUGAAAUGCGCAGAGAUCAGGAGGAACACCCGUAGCGAAGGCGGCACUCUGGGCCGAUACUGACACUGAGGAGCGAAAGCGUGGGGAGCGAACAGG
rnacentral:rRNA from 1 species